rnacentral:tRNA from 1 species
GCCCGGGUGGCUCAGUUGAUUGAGCGUCUGACUUCAGCUCAGGUCAUGAUUUCGUAGUUCGUGAGUUCAAGCCCCACUUGGGCU